GGUCUUCAGAGAGGUACUCUUCUCUUCUGUUAUUAAACAUUUAUAUAUAAGAUCAAAAUUCACUCUUUAAAGCCUUAGUAAGUGUUGAUUUUGAUGACCUUGGAUUGGAUAUAUACACAAGUUUGAAGUUCAGGGAAAUAUUAUAGUUGGUUUGACAAGUUGAAAAAAAAAGGAACAAGUGACUCUUACUGUCCUUAGCAAAUAAAUAGAAGCAAAAAUAUAAUGAAAGACUAUAGAAUGGAGAUGGGGAAGGUGGACAGUGUACUUCAACAGCUCCUUUAUGCAUUUGAACAACCUUACUCAUGUUAGGAGCAAACAAGGGAAUGCUAAGGAACCCAAUUAUGUGUGUGUGUGUGUGUAUUCCUUUAUCCAGAUGAAUACUGAAGACUAAGGAGCCAAGUAGUUGGUUGGACUUGGAUGGAGUCUAGUAAUGAGCUGGUUCAUUAUAUAUGUUUCACAAUUGUUUUUCUUUGUUGCAAAUCUUAUAGAACAAGUGGGCUCUAUUGCUGUUUUAUCUCUUGGUAAUGGUUAGAUAGAUCACAUGUAUAUAUGUCUCAAUUACAGCUGAACUUUUAUGUAUGAGUUGGAAGACAAAGCCAUGUGAACUUCAAAUGCUUAUGUUUCUUGCACAUAUGUCAAACCUUCCCAAAUGUCUUAAGAACCACUUAUUUAAAAGCCUUAUUAGAUAUGUAUGCAUUCCAUUCCAACACUCCAUUCAUCUAUAUAAGGCUACAUAAGCACACACCCAAAUCAUCAAAUCCUCACAUUCUCUACUACACAAUAUUUUUGUAACUCUAAUAUUUCUUCUAAAGAAAAAUCACACCAAGUAAGAUCAACAUGGCAUUUGGAUUAACUGGUUUUGUUCAGGGUAAGAAGGCUCUCCGAAGAUCACUAUCAGGCAUUAAAGAAGCAACUUUGAAGUCUUCAAGCAUUCCAAAAGGCUACUUUGCUGUCUAUGUUGGAGAAGAUGAGAAGAAGCGCCAUGUAGUACCUCUUUCGUACCUAAAUGAACCUUCAUUUCAAGACUUGCUUAGUAUGGCAGAAGAAGAAUUCGGAUAUGACCAUCCGAUGGGCGGACUCACAAUUCCUUGCACAGAAGACAUCUUCAUUGAUAUCACUUCUCAAUUGAAUUGAUGAUUGUAAUUUGUAGCACUGACAUAGAUUCACAUAUAACAAAUUUGUAGAUCAUAUACAAUUUUACCCUUUUUCUUGGAAAAGAAAGGGAAUUUUUUUGACUAGUUGAGAAACUACUAAAUAGAAAUUACUGGUCAUUUGAUUAACAC